UUUACUUAAAUUUGGUUUAUGUUGCAGUCUCAGGUGUAUGCUGAACCUUAAGCUGCUUCUCAAGUAUUCUGGAGAAUCUUUUUUACGGGUCCAUACACCGUGACAUGGGAUAAUUGCGAUCCAUGUCGGGGCCCUAAGUCUUUGAACGCGACGUAUUACACUACAGAACUUGUGAAAGAACCCAACGGCUCUUUCAGAUACAUUAUCAACAUAACAUACAUAGACAAUGUGUAUGUUGAUGAAAUAAAAAUCCGAGUGUACACAGUGAAGGAUGGCAAAAAGAACAUACUGUGGAACGUGAACAUCAAUAAGCCAUGUUCACACUACAUGAUGGCCGCUAUGCUAGAGACAUACUUUGGCUCAAAAAACUGCUUGAUA